AACGCACGCACGCACGCAGUCGGCACUCAGAUCGCCCCUGUUUCUUCGUUCUGCCGCCGCCGACGCUUUCGAUCAGACAUGCCCAUGCCCUAUCUGGCUACUUGCCUGUAUCGAUUCCAGUUGAUCCAAGAAUCGAGGAAGAAGGGGGUGGCGAUCCAGAGACAACAGCUGCACGGGCGCGUGGCCGGCCGGUUAGGAUGAGCGGCGAAGAGGCAAGGAAGAAAGAUUAUCCGGAGUGCGAAGCUUGCUACUAUCAGUCGUUAGAGUUUGAAGGACAUCACCAAGUCAAGUCACAUUUGAUCAUAUGUUUGAGGUAUUUUCCGGCAGGAGUAAGGUCUACGUUCUCGGUGUUGCUCUUGGAGUCAGAUGGACUCAUCUACCUUCGUUGCUUCCGCAGUAGUUUUCUCUCAUGAGUUGGCCUUUAGCCAAUUUAUUAUUAUUGUAAUAAAGGUUCGAUAUGAGAUUUUUGAUGUAAUAAAGCAUGUGAUUGAACUUUGAUAUAUACAUUAAUGUA